rnacentral:lncRNA from 1 species
UGCUCUCCCACUUUCUGGGCCCAGGGAGGCCUCUGAACAAGGCUUUCCUUUCUGUGGGGCUUCAAUCUCCUUUCCCGACGCCCUAGAUCCAGCGGCCCUCUGUUCUGAACUUGGACUCCAGCCUCAAACGAAUGAAUUGCUAUGAAAGCCAACGACUUGACAGGAGAAGAAAGGAUCUUGCAGAUAAAAAUAACAUGCACGGAGGGUAGAAGAAUGUGUCCUCUCCCACUGGCCCCGCUGCUUGGACCCAUCGGGUCUCCCAGGAGCUGGAGACUACCCAGCAGAGAGAGAAAGGAGGGGACCUGGGGGUGCACAGGGUUUGUGGGAGUCCUGAGCAGAGGCCCAGCGCAGACGCCUCGCAGGUGAGCAGCGGGAAGCUGACCAGGUGGGACAGCAGCACCCAGUGGGCCCCCCAGGACGAUUGCAGGUGGGUCCAGGAGGAACCCAGUAACACGUGCACACCUUCCUGGUGCACAGAGGCCUCCCCGCUCC